rnacentral:piRNA from 1 species
AUGGCUCAGAGGUUAAGAGCGCUGAC